rnacentral:lncRNA from 1 species
CUUAGAGAGGGCAAACAGUCCUUCCAGACACGUCACCGGCCUAGGACUGAUUUCAUUCUCUUGCUGGGAAGGGCUGAUAACAUCUUGCGAUUAAAUUUGCGUGUUAGCACAGCCUUUACAAAGAACUGAAAUGUGCCACUGAGUGUCAUUUAGACUCAGUCAAGCUGGAUUUUAUAAAGAAGAAUGUGUUGGAGGAGAGCAAUAUGGCUGUGAGUGUCAUGUCACCAUCAAACAACACUGGAGCCUAACCGAUCUAAAGAAGCAAUCCUGGCACAUGGAAGAUGCCAUCACUCGGGAAUUGGACGACAUACAACCUUCCUUGAGUGACAUUCGUUGAUGGAGCAGGUGUUCUGCAAAAGACUGGAGCACGAAAGGAAUGAAGCUGUCUUUCAG